rnacentral:lncRNA from 1 species
AGGGAGAGAAAUACUAUCACUGAAACUAUGAAGAAAGUCCUGGAAUCUAGAUUCAGCAGCUUCAGCACAAGGGAGCCCAUGGACGUUGAACUAACCAGAUCUCUGCAGCUAUCACAUGAAAAAGGGUUUCUUUCUUCUGGAUCCUUCAGACUUUUCCCAGCCUUGUUUACAGACAGAAUGGGAAAAAACAUUGAAGAAAACUCAGUGAAGACAAGAUUCCCAGAAUGUCAGAAUAAAAAAAAAAAAAAAAAAUCAAAGGCCAGAUCUCCAGGUAUGUGUUUGAAAUACUGUUCAUCCUUCCCAUGUUUGGCUACCUUCCCAUCCUUCCCUUCCUUAGCUACCUUUGAAGGUCACAGCCCCAAAUUAUAUCUGUACAAUAUGUAUGGUGCAGGGAAAUAUGGGUGGAGAAUUGAGCCCCACCAGUGUUUUGCUCCACAGGAAUGGACUGAGACAAGUGAACUCUCCGGGCAUUGUGAAUUUCCCUGGGUCCUGGGAACUCUGUGA